rnacentral:lncRNA from 1 species
AUAGAAGGAACUGUUUGCCGGGUAGGCCAGUACAGAGAUCUACGGCGCAAUGUCAGGCGUUUUUGUCCAAGCCUGUGAACUGUAACUCGUUUAGAUGUAAGCCUUUUGUUCCUUCUUUGCCACCUCCUCCUCCGCCUUCACCACCAGUUUAUAUUCCACAAUCACCACCACCACCUGUUUACUCUCCACCUCCACCACCUGUUUACUCUCCGCCUCCACCACCGCCUUCACCUCCACCACCAGUAUAUUCACCACCUCCUCCGCCUUCACCUCCCCCGCCUGUUUAUUCUCCACCUCCGCCUCCACCUUCACCACCACCGCCAGUGUACUCACCUCCUCCACCACCUCCUUCUCCCCCGCCACCUUCACCACCACCACCUCCUCCACCAGUUUACUCUCCACCACCACCCCCACCUUCUCCACCUCCACCUUCACCUCCUCCACCAUCGCCUCCUCCUCCAUCUCCACCACCGCCCUCACCAUUGCCUCCCUGUGUCCGUCUCCCACCACCUCCACCACCAAAUUCUCCACCGCCUCCACCACCAAAUUCUCCACCACCUCCAAUAUUUUCUCCACCACCGCCAACUCCUUACUAUUACAGCUCUCCACCGCCACCCUCACCACCACAUUCGCCACCCCCACCUCCACAUUCACCUCCACCCCCACAUUCACCCCCACCGCCACAUUCACCUCCCCCACCUAUCUAUCCAUACUUAUCACCACCGCCACCUCCACCUGUCCAUUCUCCACCUCCUCCGGUCCAUUCACCACCACCACCAUCUCCACCCCCUUGUAUAGAGCCACCACCACCUCCGCCGCCACCAUGUGUAGAGUAUUCACCACCGCCACCUUCACCAUCACCACCACCACCACCACCACCAAUUGUUUACAAGCCACCGCCACCUCCACCGCCGGUAGUCUAUGCAUCUCCACCUCCUCCACCAGUUUACCCUUCUCCUCCACCUCCAACUCCAGUGUACGAGGGGCCAUUGCCACCAAUUACUGGGGUCUCAUACGCAUCACCUCCUCCUCCGCCCUACUAUUGAUUCUUUUGAGAAUUUUCUCCUCUAACCUUUCAUCAAAUUCAUCAACUAGCAAACCCAAAAACAAGUUUUACAAAUUUCUAAUGAGGGCUUCUUUUCUCUUUGGGCAAUUCUCGUCGCUCUUAG